ensembl:piRNA 21ur-6580 ncRNA
UCGGCUCAACUUUUUAACUUU